ACCAGCAACCAUAUCAAACUGCAGCCCAUUGAAGCUAAGCAGGUGUGACCCUGGUCAGUCCUUGGAUAGGAGACCUCCUGGGAAAAACUAAGGUUGCUCCUG
rnacentral:rRNA from 1 species